CGCAUUUCCUUCCGACAGCAUCAGAGAAGCCUUCCAGGUUAAGGGUUGGAUUGGUCUCCAACAAAGAAGAAACAACAUCAUGCAUCAACAUUCCUCUUCUGUACACCAUACACCAGAAAAUUAAAGAAAGUGCUGCCACAUCCAGUCUUCAGAAAAAGAUUCCUUGUGCGGAGGAACAUCAUGAAGAAACUACUGGAAAAAUUGGGUUUGGUG